rnacentral:lncRNA from 1 species
GGAAGAUCCCUGGGUACUACAGGAACAUGCAUUUAUUCACUUAUUCAUUUUCUCACCUGCCGAUGGAGUUGAUAAUAACAGUGACGGCUGAAGUUUAUUGUGUGUAAAACAGCUGCUGUACACAGGGUUCUCGCUAAGCGAAAGACAUUUGUACGACCUUAAGCAAGUCAAUAUGGUCCCUUUGUAUUUCAGUUUCAUUAAAGUUAAUAAUAGCUCACCAGAAA